UACGGAGGGUGCAAGCGUUGUCCGGAUUUAUUGGGUUUAAAGGGUGCGCAGGCGGCGCGUUAAGUCAGUGGUGAAAUCCUCCCGCUCAACGGGAGAACUGCCAUUGAUACUGGCGUGCUUGAGUACGGACGAGGUAGGCGGAAUUUAUGGUGUAGCGGUGAAAUGCAUAGAUACCAUAAAGAACACCGAUAGCGAAGGCAGCUUACUAGACCGUAACUGACGCUCAUGCACGAAAGCGUGGGGAUCGAACAGG
rnacentral:rRNA from 1 species